CCCGGAGAUCAGCUGAAUAGAUUCCAAAACGUGAAGUGUCCCUUUAACUUGAACAAGCAACUUAACAUUUUGUCUUAACAGGGAACAAACUCAGAAGUCUAACAUUACCCAACAGUUUUUGUGGUUAACAGAAAGCAUUUUAAUAUGAAUGAAAGGAUGUAUAUUUGAUCUUAUUUGGUCUUCUCUUUUAUAGUUUUGGCCACCACCACAGUGGUACCCUAGGGCAGAACAUGGUGUUGUUAAGUGGUUGAGUCAUAGGUUUAGUUUUACCUUAGGGCAGCUUUGAUUCUCUUUAGUUUUUACAUUGUUGACUUUGACGUGAAAUAUUUAAAUGUUAAGUUAUAGCUUUCCAUAGCAUCCCUUAUGUUAAGGAUUUAAUCUGUAUAAAGUAUUCAGAUCCUAAUGGUUUGAAAGGUUAUUUCCUUCACAAUGUGAUUUCUGAAUGUCUCUUGUAGUUGUACUAGUAUAUAAGCUUACAUUUAUAACGCGGUUACUUCACAUUUUUAUUACACGGUUCUAUUAUUUGCCUUUGUUUCCUAACUAAACACCAAUAUCUGUGUUGUGAUUCUGAACACUUUUUUAAAUAAAUAUACACAUGCAAUACUGUUGAACCUCUUAAAACCUAUAGUAAAGUUAAUGCUUUGAUUGUUUACAAUUACAAUGUCAUACACAUUUUCUGAAAAUGAGCACCUUAAACACUAUCGCUGAA